rnacentral:rRNA from 1 species
UCCGGUUGAUCCUGCCGGAGGUCACCGCUAUUGGAAUUCGCUUAAGCCAUGCGAGUCGAGAGGGUUCGGCCCUCGGCACACUGCUCAGUAACACGUGGACAAUCUGCCCUCAGGUGGGGGAUAACCUCGAGAAAUUGAGAAUAAUACCCCAUAGGGCCUGUAUGCUGGAACGCUUCAGGUCUCAAAGCUGCGGCGCCUGAGGAUGAGUCUGCGGCUCAUCAGGUUGUAGUGAGUGUAACGGACUCACUAGCCGACAACGAGUACGGGCCUUGGAAGAGGUUGCCCGGAGAUGGACUCUGAGACACGAGUCCAGGCCCUACGGGGCGCGGCAGGCGCGAAAACUUCGCAAUGUGGGAAACCACGACGAGGGAAUUCCAAGUGCUCAUGGUUUUCCAUGGGCUGUUUUCCUGCCUAAAUAGCAGGGAGAGUAAGGGCUGGGUAAGACGGGUGCCAGCCGCCGCGGUAAUACCCGCAGCCCGAGUGGUGAUCGUUUUUAUUGGGCCUAAAGCGUCCGUAGCCGGUUUAGUAAAUCCUUGGGUAAAUCGGGCAGCUUAACUGUCCGAAUUCCGGGAAGACUGCUAAACUUGGGACUGGGAGAGGUCGGAGGUACUCCGGGGGUAGAGGUGAAAUUCUGUAAUCCCUGGGGGACCACCAGUGGCGAAGGCGUCCGACUUGAACGGGUCCGACGGUGAGGGACGAAGCCCUGGGGCACAAACCGGAUUAGAUACCCGGGUAGUCCAGGGUGUAAACGCUGCGGGCUUGGUGUUGGGGGUCCUACGUGGGCGCUCAGUGCCGGAGAGAAGUUGUUAAGCCCGCCGCCUGGGGAGUACGGUCGCAAGACUGAAACUUAAAGGAAUUGGCGGGGGAGCACCGCAACGGGUGGAGCGUGCGGUUUAAUUGGAUUCAACGCCGAAAAACUCACCGGGGGCGACUGUUAGAUGAAGGCCAGGCUGAUGACCUUACCUGAUUUUCAGAGAGGUGGUGCAUGGCCGCCGUCAGUUCGUACCGCAAGGCGUUCUGUUAAGUCAGAUAACGAACGAGAUCCCCGCCCUUAAUUGCCAUCCUGUCCUCCGGGACAGAGGAACAUUAAGGGGACCGCUGGCGCUAAGUCAGAGGAAGGUGGGGGCAACGGUAGGUCCGUAUGCCCCGAAUCCCCCGGGCAACACUCGCGCUACAAAGGACGGGACAAUGGGUCCCUACACCGAAAGGUGACGGUAAUCCCGAAACCCGUUCAUAGUCCGGAUUGAGGGCUGUAACCCGCUCUCAUGAAGUUGGAAUCCGUAGUAAUCGCGGGUCAACAUCCCGCGGUGAAUAUGCCCCUGCUCCUUGCACACACCGCCCGUCAAACCAUCUGAGUUGGGUUGAAGUGAGGGCACCUCAUUUUGUGGUGUUCGAACUUUGGUUCAGCAAGGAGGGUUAAGUCGUAACAAGGUA